GUGCAGGUCCUUGGAAGCCCCAGUAGACCCUAUAUUUCACAUUUUGAGUGAACAGGCUCCAUUCUAAGGUUUUGCUUAG
rnacentral:pre_miRNA from 13 species